rnacentral:rRNA from 1 species
UACGGAGGGUGCAAGCGUUAAUCGGAAUUACUGGGCGUAAAGGGCGCGUAGGUGGUUAUUUAAGUUGGCUGUGAAAUUCCUGGGCUCAACCUGGGGACGCCAUUCGAUACUGCUGUGACUUGAGUUCGGUAGGGGAGCACGGAAUUCCUGGUGUAGCGGUGAAAUGCGCAGAUAUCAGGAGGAACACCGGUGGCGAAGGCGGUGCUCUGGGCCGAAACUGACGCUGAGGAGCGAAAGCGUGGGGAGCGAACAGG